UAUGCUGUAUCCAUGUCUCCCCACCCACUGGUGACCACCCUGUGCGCAGUGUGCAAUGCCGCAGGUGCGAAGACCAGGUACUGCUUGCAGUGCAUGGUUAGAGUAUCAUGUGACAUUGAGGGAUGGGAAUUAAUCAGCGGUGUAUAGCAGGUGGUAAUCAGAUCUUUGAUUGUUCGGAAGCUAUUGCCGUGGCUUCAAGCUUGAAAACUUCUACGUUUUGAAGAGAAAAGGAGGAUCACAAGGCCAAUGAAUGCAAACGGUUCAAGGUUUCAUGAGAAUGGCAUGAGCUGCCCAGCAAUACAUCUUUAUGAUUUGAUUGCUGCUAUCAGGGAUUUUACCGGUGCCUAUGUUAUCAUACUCUGGUCGCUAUCCACCGUGCAAGAAGCAUGCAAAGGAAUUUGUCAAAGAGAGGAACUCCAAACGGACAGUAGCACGUAAAGUGCAGACAAGAUGUGACAUACCUUGAAGCUGCCCAUCCAGUGCCAUGGCCAUUGGGUCAAAGGGCCCGGCUGUGCUGCCAUGGUAAUGGAUGCACGACCACUUUCCUCUCUUCCAAGGUAAGCAGCUCCCUCAGCAAGCAAGCUCUGCUACGAACUUCAAGCUCCGGUUGCAUUUUUAUAUGCAUGGACGGUUGUACAAUAUGUUCUUGCAAUAUUGUGUAAAUAAGUCAUUUUUUUCAUGCGCCCAUGCAUGUUUCCGUUCCCAUUACCAGUCUUUAUUUCUUCACAGUAUCUACUUCCCCAACUGUAUUUUUCUGUGGCUUGCCUUGGAAGGUACAUUCUAGGCAGAAAUACUCAAAUCCAAAUCAUGAAACAUGCUUUUUUAGUGCGUCCGAUCACACAAAACAUGCUGUUGCUUGCUAUUGGCAUUUGUGUUACUUUGGCUCCUGUCUCCUAUUCUUCUUAUAUUGCCUUCUUGGGCUUCAUUUUGGAAUUUGGGAUGUGGGUCCUUUGUCAUUCAUGCGAUUCACGCUUUCUGAUUAUGAAUUUUAUCUUUCUGGUCAAUUCAAGAGAGACUAAACGUAAAUGAUAGAAAAAAACAGAAACAUGAAAUGAUGUAGUCAGGUGGGAACAAAAUGAUACUCCCUCCGUUCCUAAAUAUAAGUCUUUGUAGGAAUUUCACUAUGAACCACGUACGAAUGUAUAUAGAUGC